rnacentral:rRNA from 1 species
UGCAGUCGACGUGAGAGGGUACUUGUAUCCUUGAAAGUGGCGGACGGGUGAGUAAGACGUAGGUGACCUGCCUCGGAGUGGGGGAUAACCAUUGGAAACGAUGGCUAAUACCGCAUAGGUUGAGUAAGAUGGGAAUCUUAGUCAACAAAGCUUCAGUGCUUUGAGAGGGGCCUACGGCCGAUUAGUUAGUUGGUGGGGUAAAGGCCUACCAAGGCGAUGAUCGGUAGCUGGUCUGAGAGGACGAUCAGCCACACGGGAACUGAGACACGGUCCCGACUCCUACGGGGGGCAGCAGUGAGGAAUAUUCGGCAAUGGGGGCAACCCUGACCGAGCAACGCCGCGUGGAGGAUGACGGUUUUCGGAUUGUAAACUCCUUUUCUGCGGGAAGAGGCAGGACGGUACCGCAGGAAUAAGUCACGGCUAACUACGUGCCAGCAGCCGCGGUAAUACGUAGGUGGCAAGCGUUAUCCGGAAUUACUGGGCGUAAAGCGCACGCAGGUGGCAUGUUAAGUCUGACGUGAAAGCUCCUGGCUUAACUGGGAGAGGUCGUUGGAGACUGGCAGGCUUGAGGUAAGGAGAGGGGUGCAGAAUUCCCGGUGUAGUGGUGGAAUGCGUAGAUAUCGGGAGGAAUACCAGUGGCGAAAGCGGCACCCUGGCCUUGGCCUGACGCUCAGGUGCGAAAGCGUGGGGAGCGA